rnacentral:rRNA from 1 species
UACGUAGGGUGCAAGCGUUAAUCGGAAUUACUGGGCGUAAAGGGCGCGUAGGCGGCCUUCUAAGUCGAACGUGAAAUCCCUGGGCUCAACCCAGGAACUGCGUCCGAUACUGGAAGGCUUGAAUCCGGGAGAGGGAUGCGGAAUUCCAGGUGUAGCGGUGAAAUGCGUAGAUAUCUGGAGGAACACCGGCGGCGAAGGCGGCAUCCUGGACCGGUAUUGACGCUGAGGCGCGAAAGCCAGGGGAGCAAACGGG